rnacentral:rRNA from 1 species
AUUGAACGCUAGCGGGAUGCCUUACACAUGCAAGUCGAACGGAGUGGCGAACGGGUGAGUAAUGUAUCGGAACGUGCCCAGUAGCGGGGGUUAACUACGCGAAAGCGUAGCUAAUACCGCAUACUAUUGGAGCGGCCGAUAUCGGAUUAGCUAGUUGGUGGGGUAACGGCUCACCAAGGCGACGAUCCGUAGCUGGUUUGAGAGGACGACCAGCCAAAUUGGGACUUGGACACUGCCCAGACUCCCACGGGAGGCAGCAGGGGGGAAUUUUGGACAAUGGUGGAAACCCUGAUCCAGCCAUCACGCGUGUGCGAUGAAGGCCUUGGGGUUGUAAAGCACUUUUGGCAGGAAAGCGGUACCUGCAGAAUAAGCACCGGCUAAAUACGUGCCAGCAGCCGCGGUAAUAC